UGUACACAAAAGAGUCUAGGAGAAUCUCGGACAGAUGAACCUGAGUUACCGACCGACUAGUGAACCAAAUUGUGUGGACACAAAGGAAUCAAACACAGUUGCAGUUUAUCAAGUUCCUUACCAUUACCAAUGCAAAAGGUGACAGUGUUAACCUGAAACAAGUUGCACGUUCCACUGAUU